UACGAGGGGGGCAAGCGUUGUUCGGAAUUAUUGGGCGUAAAGGGCGCGUAGGCGGUGCGGUAAGUCACCUGUGAAACCUCUAGGCUUAACCUAGAGCCUGCAGGCGAAACUGCCGUGCUGGAGUGUGGGAGAGGUUACUGGAAUUCCCGGUGUAGCGGUGAAAUGCGCAGAGAUCGGGAGGAACACCAAUGGCGAAAGCAGGUAACUGGACUAUUACUGACACUCAACUGCGAAAGCUAGGGGAGCAAACAGG
rnacentral:rRNA from 1 species